UGGGCACCUGGGCCAAGGCUGUGCUGGGGCCUUCUCGUGACCCAUUGUGAGGGGCCUUGCAGGACUUGUGGAAGAAGGGUGCUAUUUUGGAGCAGGGGUUGAUAUCCUGUUUUCCUCUUGGUUUACAAAGAAAACUCAGUGUUGAGGGAACUGAAGACUGGGAUGUGCUGGGCUAAUAUAAAUUUAACCGAAGCCAAGAAUGCCCCUGGUUUGGCUCUGAAAAGAGUACUAAGCAGCCAAGGACAUUUGGAUAGCCAAAUCCAAUCCAGGACGGUCCUCUGCUGAGCCUGUUCCCUGCUUCUGUGACAUCAAUUCUGACAUCAGAAAGUAAAUUUGAGAAAGAAGGGAGCAUCACAGACUCCCACUGCAGUGAAGAAUUGAAUAGAGGAAAAGCCAUGCUGGGCCACAGAAGAUUUGAUAUUAUGGUGUCCAAGAGUCCACCAGAUUCUUCAGGUGCCACUGCUAGGGCCUUCUGAAUCAAGUGUUCAGAGUACUACUAUGCUCUUGCUAUCAGAGUUGCCUGUUCACAGUGCCAUACUGUGCUUGCUAAAAGGUGCUGCUAACCCAUCAACUAGGACCUCUACCACACACUACAGUAGACCAAAAGGGAGAAAGAACCUGCUUCCCAUUUUCCUGGAUGAGAAGGGUGGUGUCUCAAGGAGAGGCCAGAAUUUGUCUCUGUGGACUUGGAUGCUGUUUCUGCUUCAGGAUGUCUCUGCCAUAGGCCAAGUAUUUUACUCAGCCCUGUCCCUCAGUCACUGCCUGUGAGAUGAAGAUGUUUUUGAAUAACAACCAGGAUGGGUUCUGCAGUUGCUCGGAUUACUCUUUUUCCCAUUCUGAAGUACAGGGACUAGAUUUUCCUGGUCCCAGAAUAUGAAAGAUUCAGGCACAAGUCUCAAGUUUAGGGUGAUUUGGAUUCAGGAUUGAGCCUUGGCUUUUCCCUUCACAGGGCACCUUGGCAAGAGACUCACAGAUAUUUUAAACCCCUAAUUAAUGCCAGAUCCUUUCUGCAUCUUUGAAGCACCUCAGCUUGAUCAGGAGUCCUGCUGCCCAAGACCAAUUAAUAGUUUCCAAGUGUGGGGCCAGAAGACGCAGAUGCAGGUCAGGAACAGGGACCUAGCACAUAUCAUCCUGGAAAGAAAGGACAAGAAGAUGGGAUACUGUAGUGUACCUGAUACCACAAGGAAACAACCUCAGAAGUGCCCAAGAAGGAAGGGCAAGACCCUGCAGGAACUACAGCUUUUUGCGUUAUCUCCUCUGCUGCCUGAGAUGAACCAGUAGUCCUUCAACAAAGCAGAUUGCAAAAAGAAAGCUAAUCUCUUCUGCAACAUUAACACUAACCUAAGGUAAAAUAUUUUGUGAUUAGCCAUUACUGCUCAAAAAGCAAGUAUCUGUGAGAUGUUGUUUAAGGAAGUGAAUGACAGAGAGCCAAAAUAGCUUGGUGUUGCAUAAGAGGGAGAAAGAAAGCAUAUCAAAGAUGUGGUUUUGUUUUUAUGUCUGCUUUUGUAUUCUGGAGUUUGUAGUAGCCACAGAAACAGUUUACUGUUAUACUUAGGAAGGAAAAUAGUUAUAAAUCAUAGCUCAGUUCAUAAUUUCUAUAAAGUGCACCUAAAAGUUAUCACUGUCCUAAACAAACUUCCACCCUAGAUUACUGUAUUCCAAGAAUGGUGCUUCCCAGUUCAGUCUUCAAUUAUAACUGAAAUGGCAGGAAACACCCCCCAAGAAAACAUCAUUGUUAUAUCUCUAUGAAUCAUAAGGUGUUUUUAGGAUCCUUUAAGAAGUAAAUAUUGGCUGGCUCAAAAACACCAGGUGACAAGAAACACAAGAAGAAUUGUUAAGUUAGACAAGGUAGCUUUUGCAAAAAGCUUUGCUAAGCAAUUAUAUGUGUGAAUGCUGAAGUAACCUAGUAUUUUUCAUCUGUGUGUCAUCUCUACAUUCUUCAUCUUUCCACUAACUUUUGACUAGCUUCUUUUGCAGAAAAAGAACAGGACUUUGACCUACUCUGCCACAGAGAAAAAGAGAACAAGUUGAGAGUGCAAUAUUUCUAAAGCAGUGGAAGCAGAAAGUGGAAAGAGCAGAGUGGGAAAGGGACAGGGUAUUAAAAAACUCAGAGAAAAAAAAAAAAAAGGAAUGAGUGAAUGAGAAAAUGAAAGGGGAGAGCUAAGUGAAAUAUCUGAUAAGCAGGUAAAAUGAAGUAACCUUAAAAAGCUGAGUAUGAGAAUGAGUCAAAAAGGUAGUAACAAAGAGAAAGAGAUGGAAAAUAAUCAUAGGCAGAAGUGAAAGAGAAAAUAAAAAAGAUAUAAAAACAAAAACAGGAGAUAGAAGGAGAUCUAAAGACAGGAAACAGGAAAAUGUGGGAAAGAAGCGAGACAGUGAUAUUUAACUAACAUAUGUCAGUAUGUUACUUCAGAAGGAAGUAAACACAGACCAGUCAUGCCAGUUAGGGCUACAGGACUGCAAACUCUUACUUUCC